AUGAUGUAAAGUAACCUUCGCCUUUGCUUUUCGUAUGAAAUGCGGCACCUGCGAUAGAUGUUGGGUAUCUUGCUGAUUCUGGACAUUCAUGUGCUGCAGAUUCAAUAGUUGUAAGGGCGGUAAUGAGACCAAGGCACUUUCGCUUACGCUUUCACCUGACGUAAAGAAAUAUUUAUUUUAUGUGGAUAUAAAUGAUGGAUAUAUUUAUUUUUAUGUGGAUAAAAGUGAAUGAAUUAAUGCUG
rnacentral:lncRNA from 1 species